rnacentral:rRNA from 1 species
GUCCACGCUGUAACGAUGGAUACUAGGUGUUGCGGUAUUGACCCGCAGUGCCGAAGCUAACGCAUUAAGUAUCCCGCCUGGGAGUACGGCCGCAAGGCUAAACUCAAGGAAUUGACGGGCCCGCACAAGCGGUGGAGUAUGUGGUUCAAUUCGACGCAACGCGAAGAACCUUACCCAGACUUGACAUCCCAGUAAUCCUGUAGAAAUACGGGAGUGCCCUUCGGGGAUCUGGAGACAGGUGCUGCAUGGCUGUCGU